AUACGGAGGGUGCAAGCGUUAAUCGGAAUUACUGGGCGUAAAGCGUGCGUAGGUGGUUUGUUAAGUUAGAUGUGAAGGCCCCGGGCUCAACCUGGGAACUGCAUUUGAAACUGGCAUACUAGAGUAUAGGAGAGGAAAGUGGAAUUUCAGGUGUAGCGGUGAAAUGCGUAGAUAUCUGAAGGAACAUCAAUGGCGAAGGCAGCUUUCUGGACUAAUACUGACACUGAGGUACGAAAGCGUGGGUAGCAAACGGGAUUAGAAACCCUAGUAGUCC
rnacentral:rRNA from 1 species